UUGCAAUGAUGAAGGUUCCAAAACCAUUCGUAGUUUCCACCAGAGGUUGAAAAACAACCAAUGUUGGCUUAAAUUACCUUCCUUGGAUGUCUGAGCGA
rnacentral:snoRNA from 1 species